AGAGUUUGAUCCUGGCUCAGAAUCAACGCUGGCGGCGUGCCUCAGACAUGCAAGUCGAACGAUUAAACUUUCCUUCGGGAAAGAUAUAAAGUGGCGCACGGGUGAGUAACACGUAGGUAAUCUACCUUUGAGUGGGGAAUAACGUUCGGAAACGAACGCUAAUACCGCAUAAUGCAGCGGCACCGCAAGGUGACAGUUGUUAAAGGAGCAAUCCGCUUAAAGAGGAGCCUGCGGCAGAUUAGCUAGUUGGUAAGGUAAUGGCUUACCAAGGCUACGAUCUGUAACCGACCUGAGAGGGUGGUCGGUCACACUGACACUGAAUAACGGGUCAGACUCCUACGGGAGGCAGCAGUCGGGAAUUUUGGGCAAUGGGCGAAAGCCUGACCCAGCAACGCCGCGUGAAGGAUGAAGUAUUUCGGUAUGUAAACUUCGAAAGAAUGGGAAGAAUAAAUGACGGUACCAUUUAUAAGGUCCGGCUAACUACGUGCCAGCAGCCGCGGUAAUACGUAGGGACCAAGCGUUGUUCGGAUUUACUGGGCGUAAAGGGCGCGUAGGCGGCAAAUCAAGUCAGCUGUGAAAUCUCCGAGCUUAACUCGGAACGGUCAGCUGAUACUGUUUUGCUAGAGUGCAGAAGGGGCAAUCGGAAUUCUUGGUGUAGCGGUGAAAUGCAGAUAUCAAGAGGAACACCUGAGGUGAAGACGGGUUGCUGGGCUGACACUGACGCUGAGGCGCGAAAGCUAGGGUAGCAAACGGGAUUAGAUACCCUAGUAGUCC
rnacentral:rRNA from 1 species